AGAUUCUGGAGGCCCCCGCAGCCGGCCAGUGAUGCCGCUUCUCGCUCAGACAGCAGCUCCCUUCUGGGACUUAAAGCUUGUUGGCGGCGGUGUUUCAGGGGCCGCGGACAGGGCGGGGCCGCACAGACGCCCCGCCCACCGCCGACGAGGCUCCAGACCCGAGUCCCAGGGAGAGGCCGAGCCCAGCGGGGCCAGAGGGCGGCCGGGCGGCGAAGAUCUGAGCCCCAGCUCCCUCGGCCCGCAGUGCGUGGAAGGGGCGAUCCCGACGCGGACUUGAAAGAAGGCCAGCCGGACCCGUGCCCGCAUCCUCCCCGGCGACGCUCGGAGCUUGCUGCAGCCGCCAAGCACGGGGCACCAUCGGAUUCAGGCAGCACCCAGUGCGGGCCGCGGAGAGGGGACCACAGUUCGGCUCUGGCCACCUCGGGUGCGGGGCAGCCAGGUUAGCCCGCCGCUUGUGCCCAAAGCUCCUGAUGUUAGCGGCCUCUGCAGAGAUACCGCUUCAGACCCCCUAGGAAGGCAAUGAUUUGGUCUGGCACUUCAUGAUGCCACCUUAUACCAUCGCCAUAAUCCUCCAGGGUGAAAGAAUUAUCAGCCCUAUUCUAUAGAGGAAGCCAUGUCCGACUCUUUGCGGCCGCAUGGACUGCAGUCGGCCAGGCUCCGUGGACAGAGCAAAGAGUCUGACACGACUGAGAGGCUAAGCACAGAGCACAGCACAGAGAUGGAGAAACCGAGGUUCCAAGAGCGCCCUUGCCUGUAUGUGCUGGACACACAUAUGUACUCUUGAAAAUGUGUGUGUGUGUGUGUGUGUGUGUGUGUAACUAAGCCAAGCCAUGUGGCUGUCUCUUCAGUCCAAGCACCAUCCUCCUAGCCAGGCACUCAGACAGCAGGCACCAGCCAGGACUUCAGCACUAUUUCCUCUUGUGGGAAGCAGUUUUCCCAGGCCUUGCCAGCAAACUGGCCACAUGUGGAUUGGAGAGAGGCCGAGUGCAGCAUUUCCUCCAGGUCCCAGGAGAAGGAGGAGGUGUUCCAGUGCAGCAGGGGUCUGUGUGUGUGUCUGUGCCUGUGCCCGUGUGUGGGCAUUUGGGUGGGGUUGUGAAGGUCCCCCUUGUGCUGUCAGUCACUGCGUAGUCUGAGUGUCUGUGUAAAUGUCACUUGCGUGAGGGUCUGUUCUCUUGGUAUCUCUGUAUGCCUGUGCGAUUAUGUGUGUGGUGUGUGAUUUUUCUGCUGGCUUUGGAAGUGUGUCUAAAUGUGCCUUUCAGUGGGAUUGUGAAUUCGUAUGCCUGCCCAUGUCUUUGUGAAUAUCUGGGCCGGCUUCUGUGUGUGACUGUGCAUCUCUCUGCAUAUCUGUGUGUGUCUUCAAGGGUUCAUCACCGCCACCACCACCNNNNNNNNNNNNNNUCCUGGACGCAAUAACCUGGCAGGACUUGGGGUCACGGGUUGGCCUGGGCCUGGGGCUGGUGGGCGGCUGUGGGAGAGGGGGGAGGCCUGAGAGGCGGGCCCUACAGCUCACAUUCCAGCCAGGAAAAGAGAGGCCAGAGCAGGCCCAGCCCUCACCCCAGUGACCUCUGCAUCCGCUGUCUGCCCGCCCACCCAUGUGGGGCUGCCUCCUGCUUGGCUAGCCCCAAGCCCAGCGCUCCAGGAGCCAGAGGCCAGUCACCAGCCAGCUAGGUGGGGGCUGCAAGAACUCUCUGACGAGCUCCAACAUGCUGAGGCUCAUGGAGCAGACAGAUUCGUUCCUGGGCCCAGGGUCUUGGUGGAGGAUGUCUGGGCAUCGCUGCCAAGCAUGUGUAUGAGGGGUGAGUAGAUGAGUGUUUGGGCAUAUCUGGAUCAUAUAUGUUUGCCCAUAAUAUCUGUGUUUACACAUAUGCAUGUGUUUAUGUGUGUCUUUUUUUGGAUUUGUGAUUGUGGGCACGAGUGUGUUUUGUGCAUGAGUGGGUGUAUUUAAAUAUUUGUAUUGUACAUGCUUUGGAGAAGGAAAUGGCAACCCACUUCAGUAUUCUUGCCCUGGGGAGAAUUCCAUGGACAGAGGAGCCUGGUGGGCUACAGUCCAUGGGGUC
rnacentral:lncRNA from 1 species